UCUUGACUAGUAUAUCGGUUCAGUACACCCGCUUGUCAUUCAUUUCUAUUGUUGUCUCCGCGGGAGAGCAGGGUUCGACUCCCUGGUCGAGAG